rnacentral:rRNA from 1 species
AUUGAACGCUGGCGGCAGGCCUAACACAUGCAAGUCGAGCGAGCGGCGGACGGGUGAGAAUAGUAUGGGGAUCAGCCCGAUAGAGGGGGAUAACUACUGGAAAAGGUAUAUACUACACCACACUACCGCAGUGACCCACAUGGGAUUAGCUCGUAGGUGAGGGAAUAGGUCACCCAGGCGACUAUCCCUAGCUGGACUGUGAGGAUGACCAGCCACACUGGAACUGAGACACGGCCCAGACGCCUACGGGAGGCAGCAGUGGGGAAUAUUGCACAAUGGGCGCAAGCCUGAUGCAGCCAUGCCGCGUGUAUGAAGAAGGCCCUAGGGUUGUAAAGUACUUUCAGACUGGAGGCGUUACUGGCAGAAGAAGGACCGGCUAACUCCGUGCCAGCAGCCGCGGUAAUUC